GAACGGAGACGGAGCAGCGAAAGAAAGAGGAGCAAAGGGGAAAAAGAAGAAGGAGAGGGAGCACGCGCUUUGAUCCCAAACAAUAUCGAUACGCGUAUGGAUCACUAGUGCGCUCAAAAAAAGAAACGCCAGUAACAGACGCAACUCCAUUUUAUAUGCAUACUCGUUAUUCGCAUAAAAUCAAGUGACAUCGUGGUAACGCGAGUGAAUCACGGCGAGAAGGCAGAGCUCCCCGGGUGUCAGGUCGCAUCUGGCAUCCACAAUCAACACUCCACGUAGCUUCGGUGACGUCACGUCCGGUCGUGUGUGCCGAAUAAGCAGAAAUCGCGUAACCGAACUCUAUCCGUGGGGAACCGUUUCAAAAAAAGGAGAGAAUACACCGGCACGAAGCACGUGUCAAAUCAGGAGAUACGUCGUGUUGGAACGCGAGCAUAUUUCAACGCCAAAAAAAAACAAAGAAGUCACUCGCCUGACUUGUUUCACUCCUCGACGUCCGAUGACUAUUCGGUGUCUGAACGGUUGUAAUUCCCGUUUCAUCCAUAUUCCAUAUGCAGUGAGCCUGGAAAUGCCUUAAAAAUGCACCCGGACGGAUUAGCCCCAAACACAAGUUUCAGGUUUGAUCGCCCACGAAAUAUUAGACAUCAACGAUAAUGAAAAAACUACACUGGAUUCGUGUUCAGCAUGCAUUACUCUUUAUAAUCACGUACCUCGAG